rnacentral:lncRNA from 1 species
UACUUAAAACUGAAGAACUGAACAGGACCACAUGACAACGAAAUGACAGAACAGCGGCGUUUCUGAUGCUUGUGCCUGGCGUUGUACGCGCCUUUGCACCUCUCCAAAUCUUUCAUCGCGCUUUCCACGCUGCGUCCACGGCAGCGAUUAUUGAUGGCAACCGUGGGGGUCUGCACUGCUCGCAUAUAUUUUUUCGUACAUGCGUUUCCAAGCAGCCCGUGUAAACAGCGAGGGCAAUAGUGCUGACAGAUUCCGGUCGAUUCAGCAUAUUUCACAUUUCUGGCGCACAGGCGACGUAUUGAAAACGCAUUUCUAUUAGUUUGGUUUGACUUCCGCAUCUCAUUACGAAGGGGCAUCGGGGAUAUGCACUUUUUGUGUUGAUCUCUCUUUGGAUGACGUGAUACGCCAUCUGGAUGGUUUGCCAUGCUGCGUGCGGAGGCUACCCUCGCCACAGAGCUGACGCCAGGACCGUCCAGGGAGGCCGCCGAGACGUCAGCCCUUCAGUAUUGCACGGCCGUCCAGGGAGGCUGCCGAGAUGCCAGCCCUUCAGUAUUGCACGGAGAACCCAUGGGACCGAGUCGAUGACAACAGCGAUGACGAUGACUUUGUGGAUCCCCCGUUACGUCAGACCGUCUGACCUGUCGGCGCCCGCGGUGGUCCGUAGCACCCCCCGCCUGUGGCCGACCCAACGGCCGCUGUGUGCAUCUUGCCCUGUCGGAUCUCCUAGGCAAGAUGCAGAAGUUCAUUCUUGAAGAUCUGGACGAUCACCCUGAGCAAGGCUCGACAUGGGACAAGGCGCUGUCGGCAUUCAUAAUUGAGUGGUGCGCCGCCACGUCCUCCGUCUCCCCCUGUCAGAGCCAGCUCCACGUGCAGCGUCAACUAGGUUGGCGCAAAAGCGUGGCCACCAUCUCUGUCCUCCGGUCGGAGAAGCGGAAACCUAUCCACUUCGUAGACGGCAGCGUGCAGCGGCGCGGCCUAGACUCCUGUUGUGCGUACGGCUGGGAAGGAGUCUGAUUUCAAGUUGUGCAGUCUCCGUCUUCUUUGUGGCUAAAGAAGCGGGGGUGGCCUGGUGCGAUGAUGCGCAAUGGUGGUGUUCGACGGUGUAUUUGAUGGUUUUAUUAUGAUGAUGUGUUUGCCUGAGGACGGGAAACUGUACGCCGUGCUAGGUGCAGUCUCCUUUUUGGCAGCACACAUCACUUGUAAAGCUUGCGAAGUUGUUUUAUUGUGUUUGUGAGAAGUCGUUUGGACGGAAUGUGUUGUCUGGUUGGUACGGGAUGUGUCUAAACUGUCGUCGUCUCGUUGUGUUUGCUGAGAUGUGUUCCGUCGAUCUGAAUACACUUGCAUGGCGUGUUGGAGCUGA